UGUAGUGAGCUUUUGAUUCUUCUUUCAAUCCGCGGGAAAAACAGAGCUGAAAGUCCCAUGGAAAAUCGAUCGCGCUUCUGUAUACGAUGCUAUCUCUCUUCGGAAUUUUUCAUCUCUAUCUAAGCUUUGAGUUGUUGCUGCUUGUUCGGAAUCAUCAAUGGCGGUUUCUUGAUUUGGAGGCUCGAUCAUUUACUUUAUUCAUGCGAGAAAUGUAAUCGAGAAAUCAAUAUCUGGAAUACUUGCUCAUUAUCGUUUGAAACUUUGACGCAAGCUCUGGCCGUUGUUGGUUGGCCACCUCGAAAAUGGGUGUGAAGUAAAGGCAUCGUUUAGAUUUGUCAUUUGAAUUUACAAUUGGAGAUUGGGAUUUCUCAGCAACUUUCUGAUGAGAUAUAGCACUGAGGACUUAAAUAGCACAGCAAGAGUUGGAGUACCUGUGACAUUCUUGCAUGUAAUGCAGUUGUUGCUUCAAACCAGCUGCCUCUCUUUUCCAAAACUAACAAGCGUAGAACAGAUGGUCAGCGUUACAGUAUUACUUUGGCAUAGGACUUAAACAACCAACUAUGGCUUUGCCCUUUUUGCUUCAAAGGCGUUGUCUUGUUUCUAGCAAACUUCUGGUAAUUCUAUGGUUGAGGAUCAGUGAUUAUGGUCAAUGUUUUUCUUUUUGGCUCUCUCUUUUUUGCCAUUUGGGGCUAAGGUUUGGUUCUUCGGUUGGGCAGAUUCGACCAGAAGUGCUAUUCUUACACACAAGACUACUCUUCCUCCGGAAAGCUUUGCGGGGACUACCUUAAGACAAACAACCGCCUGAGGCAGCUGCCAAGUGGUCGACAAUUUCACUCUUAAAAUCAUAAGAGAGAUAUUUCAAAUUUAUACAUGAUGGUUACUAGGGAGCGUGUAGAUCUUUUAAUCUACUAUGUAUACAUUGUUGGCCACAAUGAAUAAUUUGUGUGAAACUUUGAUUUAAGCUUUCAUGCAUGUCUAAAUUCAAACAUUGGAACAUCUGAAUAUUAUUAUAGGGAAUGACAUAUACAAUUAGGGUUAAAA